rnacentral:lncRNA from 1 species
GGAUACUAGAGACCAAUUAUUGUCAACAAUGGCUUCCUCUAUAGUUUCUUCAGCUGCUGUUGCCACCCGCGGCAAUGGUGCACAAGCUAGCAUGGUUGCACCCUUCACUGGACUCAAGUCCACUGCUUCUUUCCCUGUUUCAAGGAAGCAAAACCUUGACAUUACCUCCAUUGCUAGCAACGGUGGAAGAGUCAGUUGCAUGCAGGUUUGUGUGUGUAUAUAUAUAUAUGUACAACAAAAUUCAUUGACUAUAAUGCUAUACUCGAUUAGCUAAUUUAACUAUUUAUAAUUGUAUAGGUGUGGCCACCAAUUAACAUGAAGAAGUACGAGACUCUGUCGUACCUUCCUGAUUUGUCCGACGAGCAAUUGCUCAGCGAAAUUGAGUACCUAUUGAAAAAUGGAUGGGUUCCUUGCUUGGAAUUCGAGACUGAGGUUAACCUCUGUUUUUAAAAUUUAUAUAUUAGCUAGUGUGUUGAUAUGUUGUGUUAAUAGUGUUGUGGGAUAUCAUGUGCAGCACGGAUUUGUGUACCGUGAGAACCAUAAGUCACCAGGAUACUACGAUGGCAGAUACUGGACCAUGUGGAAGUUGCCCAUGUUUGGGUGCACUGAUGCAACCCAGGUCUUGGCUGAGGUGCAGGAGGCAAAGAAGGCUUACCCUCAGGCAUGGGUCCGUAUCAUCGGAUUCGACAAUGUUCGUCAAGUGCAGUGCAUCAGUUUCAUCGCUUACAAGCCCGAAGGAUACUAAAAUGCCAAUUUUUAAUUAUGUAAUGUAUAACUGACCCUAUGUAUUUAGGGGAAGCUUGUUUGAAUCCUCCUUAAAGUUUUUCUCUGGAGAAACUGUAGUAAUUUUACUUUGUUGUGUUCCCUUCAUCUUUUGAAUUAAUGGCAUUUGUUUUAAUACUAAUCUGCUUCUGAAACUUGUAAUGUAUGUAUAUCAGUUUCUUAUAAUUUAUCCAAGUAAUAUCUUCCAUUCUCUAUGCAAUUGCCUGCAUAAGCUCGACAAAAGAGUACAUCAACCCCUCCUCCUCUGGACUACUCUAGCUAAACUUGAAUUUCCCCUUAAGAUUAUGAAAUUGAUAUAUCCUUAACAAACGACUCCUUCUGUUGGAAAAUGUAGUACUUGUCUUUCUUCUUUUGGGUAUAUAUAGUUUAUAUACACCAUACUAUGUACAACAUCCAAGUAGAGUGAAAUGGAUACAUGUACAAGACUUAUUUGAUUGAUUGAUGACUUGAGUUGCCUUAGGAGUAACAAAUUCUUAGGUCAAUAAAUCGUUGAUUUGAAAUUAAUCUCUCUGUCUUAGACAGAUAGGAAUUAUGACUUCCAAUGGUCCAGAAAGCAAAGUUCGCACUGAGGGUAUACUUGGAAUUGAGACUUGCACAGGUCCAGAAACCAAAGUUCCCAUCGAGCUCUAAAAUCACAUCUUUGGAAUGAAAUUCAAUUAGAGAUAAGUUGCUUCAUAGCAUAGGUAAAAUGGAAGAUGUGAAGUAACCUGCAAUAAUCAGUGAAAUGACAUUAAUACACUAAAUACUUCAUAUGUAAUUAUCCUUUCCAGGUUAACAAUACUCUAUAAAGUAAGAAUUAUCAGAAAUGGGCUCAUCAAACUUUUGUACUAUGUAUUUCAUAUAAGGAAGUAUAACUAUACAUAAGUGUAUACACAACUUUAUUCCUAUUUUGUAAAGGUGGAGAGACUGUUUUCGAUGGAUCUAAAGCAAUAUGUCUAUAAAAUGCAUUGAUAUAAUAAUUAUCUGAGAAAAUCCAGAAUUGGCGUUGGAUUAUUUCAGCCAAAUAUAAGUUUGUACCAUACUUGUUGAUUCCUUCUAAGUUAAGGUGAAGUAUCAUUCAUAAACAGUUUUCCCCAAAGUACUACUCACCAAGUUUCCCUUUGUAGAAUUAACAGUUCAAAUAUAUGGCGCAGAAAUUACUCUAUGCCCAAAACCAAACGAGAAAGAAACAAAAUACAGGGGUUGCAGACUUUAUUUUCGUGUUAGGGUGUGUUUUUUCAUGUAAUUAAUCAAAAAAUAUUAUGACAAAAACAUUUAUACAUAUUUUUACUCAACACUCUGGGUAUCAGGGUGGGUUGUGUUCGACAAUCAAUAUGGAAAGGAAGUAUUUUCCUUAUUUUUUUAGUUAAUAUUUUCAGUUAUACCAAACAUACCUUGUGAUAUUAUUUUUAAAAAUGAAAAACUCGUCAGAAAGAAAAAGCAAAAGCAACAAAAAAAUUGCAAGUAUUUUUUAAAAAAGAAAAAAAAAACAUAUCUUGUUUGUCAGUAUGGGAAGUUUGAGAUAAGGACGAGUGAGGGGUUAAAAUUCAGUGGCCAUUGAUUUUGUAAUGCCAAGAACCACAAAAUCCAAUGGUUACCAUUCCUGUAAGAUGAGGUUUGCUAACUCUUUUUGUCCGUUAGAUAGGAAGCCUUAUCACUAUAUAUACAAGGCGUCCUAAUAACCUCUUAGUAACCAAUUAUUUCAGCAAUGGCUUCUUCAGUAAUGUCCUCAGCAGCUGUUGCCACCCGCGGCAAUGGUGCACAAGCUAGCAUGGUUGCACCCUUCACUGGACUCAAGUCCACCGCUUCUUUCCCUGUUUCAAGGAAGCAAAACCUUGACAUUACCUCCAUUGCUAGCAACGGUGGAAGAGUCAGUUGCAUGCAGGUUUGUGUGUGUAUAUAUAUAUACGUACAACAAAAUUCAUUGACUAUAAUGUUAUACUCGAUUAGCUAAUUUAACUAUUUAUAAUUGUAUAGGUGUGGCCACCAAUUAACAUGAAGAAGUACGAGACUCUGUCGUACCUUCCUGAUUUGUCCGACGAGCAAUUGCUCAGCGAAAUUGAGUACCUAUUGAAAAAUGGAUGGGUUCCUUGCUUGGAAUUCGAGACUGAGGUCAACAUCUAUCUCCUCUGUUUUUAAAAUUUACUAGCUAGUAUGUUGAUAUGUCGUGUUAACAGUGUUGUGGGAUAUCAUGUGCAGCACGGAUUUGUGUACCGUGAGAACCAUAAGUCACCAGGAUACUACGAUGGCAGAUACUGGACCAUGUGGAAGUUGCCCAUGUUCGGGUGCACUGAUGCAACCCAGGUCUUGGCUGAGGUGCAGGAGGCAAAGAAGGCUUACCCACAGGCAUGGGUCCGUAUCAUCGGAUUCGACAAUGUUCGUCAAGUGCAGUGCAUCAGUUUCAUCGCUUACAAGCCCGAAGGAUACUAAAUGUGUAUAUGUCAACAGUGAGAAACUGUUCGCAUUUUCCGUUUUGCUUCUUUCUUUCUAUUCAAUGUAUGUUGUUGGAUUCCAGUUGAAUUUAUUAUGAGAACUAAUAAUAAUAGUAAUAAUCAUUUGUUUCUUUACUAAUUUGCAUUUUCACAUAUGAUUUCUGGUGCAUAUCAUAAUUUUCAUUCCACCAAUAUUAAUUUCCCCCAUUCAAGUUACUUAUGAAAUAGAAAUCCUCUUCUCCGACUACUUUAUUUG